rnacentral:rRNA from 1 species
GACGAACGCUGGCGGCGUGCUUAACACAUGCAAGUCGAACGGUGAAGCGCCUUCCUUUUUGGUGGGUGUGGAUGAGUGGCGAACGGGUGAGUAACACGUGAGUAACCUGCCCCCUUCUUCUGGAUAACCGCAUGAAAGUGUGGCUAAUACGGGAUAUUCUGGGUCUGUCGCAUGAUGGGUCUGGGAAAGAUAUUGUUUCGGUGGGGGAUGGGCUCGCGGCCUAUCAGCUUGUUGGUGGGGUGAUGGCCUACCAAGGCGGUGACGGGUAGCCGGCCUGAGAGGGUGGACGGUCACACUGGGACUGAGACACGGCCCAGACUCCUACGGGAGGCAGCAGUGGGGAAUAUUGCACAAUGGGCGCAAGCCUGAUGCAGCGACGCCGCGUGAGGGAUGGAGGCCUUCGGGUUGUGAACCUCUUUCGCCAGUGAAGCAGGCCUGCCCCGUUUGUGGGUGGGUUGACGGUAGCUGGAGAAGAAGCGCCGGCUAACUACGUG